GAAUCAACGCUGGCGGCGUGCCUCAGACAUGCAAGUCGAACGCGAAAGUCCCCCUCGGGGGACAAGUAGAGUGGCGCACGGGUGAGUAACACGUAGGUAAUCUACCUUCGGGUGGGGAAUAACAAUCGGAAACGGUUGCUAAUACCGCAUAAUGCAGCGGCACCUAAUGGUGACAGUUGUUAAAGCGGGGGAUCGCAAGAUCUCGCGCCUG
rnacentral:rRNA from 1 species